UGUAGUCAGGCCACAUCCAUUACUGCCUGCCAGUCGCCUUCUGUGUGUUUGUCCCACUGAUACAACAGAACCGCCGGUGCUUCAUCGUCUGUCCUGUGCGCUGCGCUUGAAUAUCACACUAAAAUGAGACAACCCAACAUACACCACCCGCGUUUAUGUGCGCCUGCAGCAUUUUUUGAGCGCCGGAAGAUCAGGCCUUGUGCCCCGUUGGUGCUGUCAGCUGUGACAGUUCCCAGAUGGAGGCCGCUACUGUAUGAGAGAUUGAGUUUCUCGCGGGAAAAAAAAAAGAAAAGAGAAAAGAGAAAACCUCCCUCUCUCCAUCCAAACCGUCCUCCUAAAGUCUCUGCAGGCACUUGUGCGCCCUGGCGCUGCGGAGAGAAGCAACCACGAUUUCCGUGAGUAUUCCAUGAAGAAUUUCCCUACUUAUACAUCUGAACCCCUCCCCACCAUCAGCCAUGUUGAAUAUGUUUCCAAUCUGUGUGCCCUGUCAUGGUCAGAAUUCUGCCCUGCUUCCAUGAGAGAAACCCCACGUCUUUCCAAAUCAAACACAUCGGAUAUUUAAGGACAGACAUGGCUGCCUCGGAUGAUUAAUGGUGCUUGCUGAUUUAAGGAGUGGGUGUCAGGUUGAUUUCAUGUUUAUUGGCCAGACGAAAGGGUCCACAGGUCUGCCCGUGUUAGGGCCUCUCACGGGUGGCCUGGCUGCAGGCAGCUAUUGAGGUUCACCACACCCCACUGAUUUCAUUGCUCUCCACACGGUGGUUUUGAUCAUGUUGAAGAGGAGAAAUGGCACACCUUGAUUAGAUGUUGGUGAGGGUGGUCGACGUGGUUGGACAAUCAUUCCAGUAUCAGCACUGCAACUGCCCCAUGUGAAUCCGCAGCCAUGCAGAUCAACAGUAUGGUUUGAUCAGCAUUUAACAAAUUGGAAUGGUUUCAGUGGCUUGUUUUUGUAAAAUGUGCCCAGUCAGGGUUCAUUUGGACCAAGUGCAGCGACGGGGCUUUGGCAACACCAAAACAGUGCGACAAACGACCAGAGAGUGGACAUAACAAGGGCAGGACAAAUUAUAGGCCUAUAUGAAAGCUGGAAAUUAUUAUGAAGUCUAAAUAGACACUGGGAUCACAAAAUUUCCAGAUGUUAUGUCAUAAUCAAGAGUGUAUCAGUUUGAAAGGAACAAAACAAAUAUAAGAUGCAUCAUUGUUUCCAUUGUGUCCCUUAGUUAUGAGCAUUAAGUAGAAGCUUGUGGUUUUCCAUGCAGGGAGAAGUUUAGUGAGGAUGAAACAGUCCUUUACGAAUCCUACUAAAGCUAUUAAAGGAAACAAACAGUUAAGGGACAUGCUCAAAAAUGUGCUCAGUUAUGUGGCAUAGCUUACAUUUGUUUACUGUAUGAAUGUCUAAUGUUAAUAAAACACAAGAUUUCACAAAGGAAAUCUGUAAACAGCUAAUGGUAAAUGUUAAGCUUUUUAUAUUGAGUGAAAGUAUUUAUUUGUGAGGUUGUCAAACAGCAAUACCAAAUGUUUGUGUAGACACAAAAUGAUGCACUCUUUCAUCCCUAACACACAAACACCUCCUCAUACACACACUCUAUACCCCCCAACAAAAGAUAACCAGUGUUUUAAGAUUCCAGGGCCAGGGCAAUUUAUCAGUCCUCAGUGACUGACUGAAAGAGGCCUGUAACUCUCACUAUCUCUCUCUCUCUCUCUCUCUCUCUCUCUCUCUCUCUCACUAUCACUAUCACCUAUCAAUAUAAACUACAGGAUUUAACAUGGAAAAUAAAUAUUAUUAUAUUCAAUCA